CUCCGCCCUUCCUUCCUUAUCGUACCACAUCUCUCUAUAUCUAUUCCUUCUCUCACCAUUUCUAUCCAGACUAUGAGAGCUUCAUUUCAAACCUCAUCAAUGGUUUUGCGCUCUUCGUUAUCCAAACUCUGAACACUCUUUCACUUGCAGCUUUCUAAGUUUCUUUCUUUGUUUCUUUAUCCUAUUAUCUCUUAGCAUAUAUAGUUAGUGCAACUCUCGCUGGCGCUUGCUCCUGCAUUCAAUACUGCAUUAAAGUAUCUGUUCUGCUAUUUGGUAUUCCCUUUAGCUUCUUGAAUCCAGCAAAGUUACAAAAUGGCACCAAGGAACAGUCGUGGCAAGGCAAAAGGAGAGAAGAAGAAGAAAGACGAGAAGGUUCUUCCUGUUGUUACUGAUAUCACAGUGAACCUCCCUGAUGAAACUAGUGCUGCCUUGAAGGGGAUAUCCACAGACAGGAUUAUAGAUGUUCGUCGGCUUUUAUCAGUGAACACGGAAACUUGCUACAUCACAAAUUUUUCAUUAUCCCACGAGGUAAGGGGGCCACGGUUAAAAGACACUGUCGACGUUUCAGCGCUCAAGCCUUGCGUGCUCACGUUAACUGAAGAGGACUACGAUGAGGAACUUGCUGUGGCGCACGUUAGACGGCUCUUGGACAUUGUCGCUUGCACAACGUGGUUUGGUCCGUCGGCGAGCACGCAGGAUAAGGCCAAAUCUGAUUCUGGAAAGAAUGCGCCAGGUGUGCAGGACAAGACCGCGAAGAAAACCACAUCUCAAGCUAAUACUGCCAAACAAUCGUCAUCGUCGAAGGAGGUGCUGAUGGAGGCAGAAGGAGAGAUGAACCACUCAUGCCCUAAGCUUGGAAGCUUUUAUGAGUUCUUCUCACUCUCCCAUCUCAAUCCUCCUAUUCAAUUUAUAAGGAAAGCAGCGAAACGGAAGGUUGAGGACAUUCCAGAGGAAGAUCAUCUCUUUUCCCUCGAUGUGAAGCUUUGCAACGGAAAGCUAGUUCAGGUUGAAGCUUGUAGAAAGGGAUUCUACAAUGUUGGGAAGCAGCGGAUUCUUUGUCACGAUCUUGUUGAUUUGUUGCGCCAGCUUAGUAGAGCCUUUGACAACGCUUAUGAUGAUCUCAUGAAAGCAUUCUCAGAACGUAACAAGUUUGGGAAUCUUCCUUAUGGCUUUAGAGCCAACACAUGGCUUAUCCCUCCAUUUGCAGCACAGUCACCUUCAGUUUUCCCUUCUCUUCCUGUUGAGGAUGAAGUGUGGGGAGGAAAUGGAGGUGGUCUCGGAAGAGAUGGAAAAAGUGAUUUGAUACCUUGGGCUAGUGAGUUUUUGUUUCUUGCAUCUAUGCCCUGCAAGACAGCAGAGGAGAGGCAGGUUAGAGACCGGAAAGUGUUCCUUCUUCACAGCUUAUUUGUUGAUGUUGCCAUUUUCAGAGCAAUUAGGGCUGUGCAACAUGUUAGAGUUAAUCAAGACCUAUUAUGUUCGCUUGGGAGUAGUAAAAUUCUUUAUACAGAAAGAGUAGGUGACUUGAGCAUCACAAUCAUGAAAGACAAUUCCAAUGCAAGCUUUAAGGUUGACACUAAAAUUGACGGAAUUCAAGCAACUGGAGUGGAUAAAAAAGAUUUAGUGCAGCGGAACCUACUGAAAGGAAUUACUGCUGAUGAAAAUACUGCUGCACAUGAUAUUGUCACUCUUGGUAUUGUAAAUGUAAGAUACGGUGGCUAUGUUGCUGUUGUGAAAGUUGAGGGGAGGGAGGAAAAGAACGUCAGCCCUCCAUCUCAAAGUAUUGAACUCGAACAACCUGAAGGCGGUGCCAAUGCCCUUAACAUUAACAGUUUGAGGCUACUUCUGCAUAGAACAACAUCUUCAGAACAUAGUAAACCAGCAGCUCACUUGCAAGCUUCAGAAUGUGAAGAGCUCAGUGCUUCCCAAGCUUUUGUAGAGCAAAUGCUGGAAGAAAGUCUUGCUAAGCUUGAGCAAGAAGAAUCAAAGCAGGAUCAUUUUGUGAGGUGGGAACUUGGAGCCUGCUGGAUUCAACAUUUGCAGGACCAGAAAAAUACAGAAAAAGGUAAGAAACCAUCCAUUAGGAAGAGCAAGAAACUCUCCUUGGAAAAAGAAAUGAAGGUUGAGGGACUUGGCAUGCCUCUUAGGUCCCUUAAGGGCAACAAGAAAAAAACAGAUGAAAGCAAGGAAAUACAAUCCAAAAACUCACGAUCCUCUUUUGGUGGCGCAACUGGGGAAGAUGAAGUUGCUACUUCAGCUUCUAUGGAACCUCAACCUGAAACCACAUCCAAAAAGAAUGAGCUUCCGCUGCAGAGGCUGUUGUCUGACACAGCCUUUACUCGACUAAAAGAAUCGGAUACUGGACUUCAUAGCAAGACUUUGCAAGAGCUAAUUGACAUGUCUCAGAAAUAUUAUAUUGAAGUUGCUCUGCCAAAGCUGGUAGCAGAUUUUGGCUCACUGGAACUGUCACCAGUGGAUGGGCGAACACUAACUGAUUUUAUGCAUACUAGAGGUCUUCGGAUGCGUUCCCUGGGACAUGUUGUAAAGCUUUCUGAGAAGCUGUCACAUGUACAAUCACUCUGCAUUCAUGAGAUGAUUGUACGAGCAUUUAAACAUAUUCUUCAGGCUGUGAUUGCAGCAGUUGCAGAUCAUGAGAAAAUGGCUGUAUCAAUAGCGGCUGCAUUGAAUCUGAUGCUUGGGGUUCCUGAAAGUAGAGAUUCAGAUAAAUCGUGCCAUGUCAAUCCUCUAGUAUGGAGAUGGCUGGAGGUGUUUCUGAAGAAGCGAUAUGAAUGGGAUCUUAGCAGCUCAAGCUUCAAAGAUGUGAGAAAAAUUGCAAUUCUUCGUGGAUUAUGCCACAAGGUGGGUAUCGAAUUGGUUCCAAGGGAUUAUGAUAUGGCUUCUGCACAUCCAUUUCGAAAAUCCGAUGUAGUCAGCCUGGUCCCAGUGCAUAAGCAAGCAGCAUGCUCCUCUGCAGAUGGAAGACAACUCCUGGAAUCAUCAAAAACAGCCUUAGACAAGGGAAAACUUGAAGAUGCAGUUACUUAUGGGACAAAGGCUCUAGCAAAGCUGGUGGCAGUUUGCGGUCCAUACCAUCGAAUGACUGCAGGAGCUUACAGCCUUCUUGCUGUUGUAUUAUAUCAUACUGGAGACUUCAAUCAGGCUACUAUAUAUCAGCAAAAAGCCUUGGACAUCAAUGAGAGGGAACUAGGACUUGAUCAUCCUGACACAAUGAAAAGUUAUGGGGAUCUUGCUGUGUUCUAUUACAGACUUCAACAUACAGAGUUGGCCCUCAAGUAUGUAAAGCGAGCUUUAUAUCUUCUACAUCUCACAUGCGGUCCUUCACACCCAAACACUGCUGCAACAUAUAUUAAUGUGGCCAUGAUGGAGGAAGGCCUGGGAAAUGUGCAUGUUGCCCUUAGAUAUCUUCAUAAAGCUCUGAAGUGCAACCAAAGGUUACUUGGUCCAGAUCAUAUUCAGACGGCAGCCAGUUACCAUGCAAUAGCAAUUGCACUCUCCCUGAUGGAAGCAUAUCCAUUAAGCGUUCAGCAUGAACAAACGACCUUGCAAAUUCUCCGAGCAAAACUGGGCCCAGAUGAUUUACGUACUCAGGAUGCUGCUGCUUGGCUUGAGUAUUUUGAGUCCAAGGCCUUUGAACAACAAGAAGCUGCAAGGAAUGGCACUAGGAAGCCUGAUGCAUCCAUAGCUAGCAAAGGCCACUUGAGUGUUUCUGAUUUGCUGGACUACAUUAAUCCAAGCCGUGACACAAAGGGGAGAGAUUUUGUAUCGGUGAAGAGGAAAGGUUAUAUUACAAAGAUAAAGGAGAAAACCAACCCUAAUGUGAAUUUAACAAGUUCUGAUGAAUCUCCUAAAGAGAUUCUCAAAGAGGCUUCAGAUGAAGAGAUGCACACACCUUUGGCUACCCAGAAGACUAGUUCUGCCCAAGUUCAGUUCCAGCAACCCAUUGUGGAAGAGAGCGCUGAGAAGAAAUCUGGCAUUUCCAAUGACAUAUUUCCUGUAGCACAUGCUGAAGGGGAUGAUGGAUGGCAACCAGUUCAAAGGCCAAGAUCAGCUGGUUCAUAUGGGCGCCGCCUGAAGCAGCGGCGGGGAAUCAUUGGCAAGGUUUAUCAGAAAAAGAUUGUGGAUACCAACAUGGAUUACCCUCCUGUCAAGAAUAAUCACCAGAGUAACAGGUAUUACCUUUUAAAGAAACGGGCACUAUCUCAUGGAAAUUAUGUGGAUCACCAUGCAGCUAAUCCUUCCUUGGGUGCGAAAUUUGGGCGGAGAAUCGUGAAAGCUGUAACAUACAGGGUCAAGUCUAUUCCUUCAGGUAAUAAAACUGCUGCAACAGAGAACUCAGGAUGCGGUAGCAAAGAUUUUGCUUUGUCACUGGAAUCCCGUCCAAAUUCUGCCCCUAAUGAUGUUCUUCCAGUGAGGAAUUCGGUAGUUAGUCUUGGAAAGUCCCCUUCAUACAAGGAAGUAGCAUUGGCACCACCAGGUACCAUUGCUAAGUUUCAGGUCUGGUUUCCACAAAGUGAUAUUCCAGAUAACCAGGAAAUUGGUGUUGGAAAACAUGAGGAAGAGAAAAUCGAAGCAAUUGAACAUGCUAGUAAAGUGGUAACAGAUUUAGAAGAUUUAUGUGCUGAGAAGGAUAAAAAUUCGGCAAUAGAUUUGGCAGAUCACUUGAACAAUAUAACUGAUGUUGAGAGGAAAGAGGAAAGCCACUCAAGCGAUGCGAAGGAUGAAAAUUCUUUUAUGGAGCCUCAGAGCACACUAGGAUCUGAAUCUGGUGUUAUUGGGGUUCAUGAAGUUAUGGAGAAUGGCACAUUGAUUGACGACAUGAAAAAUUCGGUUGAUCCUCUGUCAAAGGAAUCUACUCGUGAAAAGGAUUCAGCCGAAUUUGAACCCCAAGGUAAUUAUAACUCCAACUUGUCUCAAGUAGAGGAUUUGAAGGACAAAUCAUUGGUUAUCAAUUCAGGCGAGACUCACGGAUUCCCAAAUAAGAAGUUGUCUGCUUCUGCAGCUCCAUUUAACCCAUCACCAUCUAUUGCACGUGCUGCUUCAUUAACUGUGAACAUUCCUCUUCCUUCUGGUCCUGGUGCUGUUCCAGCUGUCGCACCAUGGCCUGUAAACAUGACUCUACACCCCGGGCCUGCUACCGUCUUGCCCACAAUUAGUCCAAUGUCUUCCCCACACUACCCAUACCCGUCACCUCCUGCAACCCCAAAUGUGAUGCAACCAUUGCCCUUUAUUUACCCUCCUUACAGUCAAGGCCAAGCGGUGCCAACCAGUACCUUUCCAGUGACCAGCAAUGCUUUUCAUCCCAAUCAUUUCUCUUGGCAGUGUAAUGUGAACCAUAAUGUAUCAGAGUUUAUUCCUAGCACAGUGUGGCCUGGCUGCCAUUCUGUGGAGUUUUCUGCCCCACCACCUGUUGCUGAGCCAAUUCCUGAUCGUAUGUUAGAGCCUAAAUUGCAAAUUGAAAAUCCUGAAAGCACAACUCCACCUUCCGUUCUUUCAGCAGACACUCACAAUGUAGGAAAAGCAAAGAAAGAAGCGAACCUUCUGGCAUCAGAAGGAACAGAUGAUGCAAAAGAACUGGCUAAGGUUGGCUUGGAACACUUGAAGGAAAAUGGUCACUUAAACCUGGGUAAGGUUGAAAUUUCUGGGAAUGCUUCAGGUCAGAACAAAAUAUUCAAAGAAAGUACUAGCUGCGGUGAUGAAAGGAAGAUUGAUGGGGAAAAAACUUUCAGCAUUUUGAUAAGGGGAAGGAGAAACAGAAAGCAGACUCUGAGAAUGCCAAUAAGUUUGCUUAGCCGACCAUAUGGCUCCCAAUCUUUUAAAGUUAUAUGUAACAGAGUAGUAAGAGGCAGCGAAGCUCCAAAAUCUACGGGCUUUUCAUCGAGUGAAGACAGUGCUGCUAAUGCGACGUGACCCUAGGUUCUUUUCUUCCCAAUCAACCAAUCAAGCAUAGUGAAUAGUCCAGAAAAAGUGAAGUUACAAAGAUAGUCCAGAGGAAGUAGAAGUUAUAAAGCUUUUUUCAUCAUAUGCAUGGGAAUAUAGGAUGUCUUGAACAUUUUCUGGCUCUCAUGAUCAGACCACCUUCUGGAAAAUGCAGCAAUUCUUGAUAUGACUCGGUCUCCUGUCUUUCUCUGCAAUGGACACCAGAAAUUGAGCAACAUGUGUUUUUGUUAUUUCAGGUAUUGCUGUUAUUGCUGCAAAAUUUAUUUCCCUUUAGCUUUUAUGAUGAUAUAUUAAUUCUGGAAGGUUAAACAGUGGGUUGUUUACUUGUGGGACCUUUCAAAAACGUUAGUUAAGGUGACAAUUUUGGCCGACAGUAGAGUUAGAAAAUUUUUAUAUCUACGUAAUUUAUGAUAGAAUAAUUUGAGGCCCGGCAACUAAUGACAGUUUUAAAUAUUUUUUAAGUGCCCAUUGCAAAUGAUUCUGAUAUUAAUUUGAUUGAAUUGUGAAUAAAUGAAAUUAUUUCCUUCGAAUGGCAUUGGCACUUCGGUCAA